UACGAAGGGGGCGAGCGUUGUUCGGAUUUACUGGGCGUAAAGGGCGCGUAGGCGGUGGACACAGUCAGGCGUGAAAUUCCUGGGCUCAACCUGGGGGCUGCGUUUGAUACGUGUUUGCUAGAGUGGGGAAGAGGGUCGUGGAAUUCCCAGUGUAGAGGUGAAAUUCGUAGAUAUUCGGCGGAACACCAGUGGCGAAGGCGGCUAUCUGGACCGUAACUGACGCUGAGGCGCGAAAGCGUGGGGAGCAAACAGGAUUAGAAACCUUGAGU
rnacentral:rRNA from 1 species